rnacentral:lncRNA from 1 species
CUUAAACAUUUUCAAGUCACUAACUCACUACUCAAGUGAUCACACUUCACUAUAUUCAAAACACAAGUUCACCUUUCAAGUAACUAUACUUAAACAUUUUCGACUCACUCAUGCACUUCUCAAGUGACCACACUUAACUAAAUUCAAAACACAAGUUUACAUUUCUAGUACCUACACUUAAACAUUUUCAAGUCACUAACUCACUUCUCAAGUGACCAUACUUCACUAUAUUCACUUCACUAUAUUCAAAACACAAGCUCACCUUUCAAGUAACUACACUUAAACAUUUUUGACUCAGUAAUGCAUUUCUUAAGUGACCACACUUAACUAAAUUCAAAACACAAGUUUACAUUUCUAGUACCUACACUUAAACAUUUUCAAGUCACUAACUCACUUCUCAAGUGACCACACUUCACUAUAUUCAAAACACAAGCCCAACUUUCAAGUAACUACAAUUAAACAUUUUUGAUCACUAAUGUAAUUCUCAAGUGACUAUACUCAAAACAUUUUCGACUCACUAAAGUGUCAAAACCUAAAAAUAGGGGUUGCAACUAAGUUACACAAUCCAUAGCUAUAAUCUAAAAAGCAAAGUUGAACCACUUGGCCUCAACCAUCCAAACCAAUCUUAUUGAUAAGUAAGAAUCCAUACAUAAGAAUAUCACAACUCUCAAGUCAUUAUUUAACUAGUCAAAAAUCAUAACUGGAGC